rnacentral:rRNA from 1 species
GGAGGAAAAGAAACCAACUCGGAUUCCCCUAGUAACGGCGAGUGAAGCGGGAAGAGCUCAUGUUGUAAAUCUGGAUGAGGGUUCCUCGUCCCGAAUUGUAGUCUAGAGAUGCGUGCUCAGCUACUCUCCAGGGCUAAGUCUGUUUGUGAAAGACAGUGUCAUGGACGGUGAUAACCCGGUUCUUGCCUUGGAUGUUGUAGCGUUUUGAGCCGUCCUCAACGAGUCGAGUUGCUUGGGAUUGCAGCUCUAAGUGGGUGGUAAAUUCCAUCUAAAGCUAAAUAUUGGUGGGAGACCGAUAGCGAACAAGUACCGUGAGGGAAAGAUGAAAAGAACUUUGAAAAGAGAGUUAAAUAGUACCUGAAACUGCUGAAAGGGAAGCGAAUGAAGUCAGUGUUGCUCUUUGUGCUCUGCAUCCUCCCUGCGGGGAUUGUGUAUCGAGGACUUUGAGCUUGUCAGGAUGAGUUCUCUGCCGCGGGAUAUGUUUUGUAUGCUGGAUGCUUUUUGCGGAACAUACAUUCUCUGUCGUGGCUUGGACUGAGGUUCCAUCUUGCCGUUGCCUGUGCGUUCCUCUCCCGUUGCUGUCUCUGUUCUACUGCUUGCAGUGCUCAGUUGCAGUAGUUGGACUGUGCGUAUUAUGCAUGCAAGGUCAGGAUCCUGACGAAAUGGCUUUAUUUACCCCGUCUUGAAACACGGACCAAGGAGUCUAACAUACGUGCGAGUACUUUGGUGACAAACCAAUGUGCGCAAUGAAAGUAAAGGCUGGCUUCCGUCAGCUCAGGUGGGAUCCGUUUGGAGCACCAUCGACCGACCAUUAUGCCUUCGGGCUAAAGGUUUGAGUGUGAGCAUUUAUGUUGGGACCCGAAAGAUGG